ACACCCCUCGAACUGCCCUUGGAACACCUCUCCUUCUGGUUAAGCCUCAUUUUCUCAUGUCUCGUGGGCUCCGUGUCUCUGGGGCUUUGGGGGAAAUGUUUCCUGAGAACCUACUCUCCUAGUAGCUCCUCCUCCCACAGCCAUCCACUUGAAGGAGCUGAGAAAAACAAAGGCAUGUUGGCCAAGUGGAAAGGUCAGCACACGCACGCACGCGCGUGUGCGCACAUACACACACACAUACAUGUGAUGUCGCUGACAUGAGGCUGGUAGGGGUGGGAGCAGUGAAGUGCUUCCUGGGAGGAGGCUGAGGGUUGGGAGGUACUUUGAAGAACAGAGCUUUGGCCCAGUCUGGACUAUGAGUGCAACCCCCACCUCAGGUGGAGGAGCCCAGCUCCAGUGACAGGAAGGGCUCCAUCUGGCUCAUGGGUGCUGGGUGUGGGGAGUCCCUGGAGCAGAACUCUGCCCUGAGGAGCAUUUGCCGGAUACCACCCUCCCACCAAGCAUGCCAUCAGGGCAUCAUCGGUGCCAGCACAAGCAUCUCACUAGUAGGGUCUGUGUGGGUGAGACAGUCCUGGAGGGCUGCCUGGAGGAGUCAUGGCAGUCCUAGGUUGUAGCCCUCAGAGGCCCUGCCUGCUUUACUGAGGCCCGGGUCAUGGAAGCAACUGUCUUUCCACUGAGCAGGAAGCUUUGACCACAUCACAAACGCUCCCCUGCCCUGGGCCUGCUGUGUCUCCUCCUGCUCAGAGCAUCAGUUUCCAUUCACUCUCCAUUCUCCAGCAUCGAGGCCCAGCCACUCUCCAACCACUCUGAGGUCUGCAUUCUGACCAAAAUUAAACCUCCAGGGACCUCCUCUAGCUUGAGUCUCAGAUGUGGGAACUCCAGCCUGCUGCCCCAGAGUGACUCUUGGAGUGACCCCUUGGGUGUUCCACGUGAGCCAGGGAGGGGUAGGGAGGACGCAUCCACCAUGAGAGGCUGUUGAAUUUCCGGCAAAGCUCAAGCCUACUUUAUAUUAAAACUGGUCUAGCAGGUUGGUGUCAAAGGCUGCCCAGGCUUGCACAGGGCCUACUUCUCCUGGAGGAAGAGGGCCUUUAUGAGAGCCCAGGAAGUCUGGGAUGUCCUGUGCACAGACCCUGAGUCUUCCUGCCUUCAUAGUCAGGCCUCUAGGCCUUUAGGCCCCCGGCCCCUCACCUUCCACUUCACUGUGGGCAACCGUGCAGGAUGGAAGGGUCCCCAUCUGAGAGUGAGGUGGGCCUAGUCAUGGCCCCCAGCCCCACUCAGAUGUGUGUUCAGACUUGGCCAGGAGAGAUUUGCUCAGUCAGUAGAUUAAAAGUCCAGCCUAGGUGUAGGUGCAGGGACCUAGUGAGAUGUAUACACUGGUACCAAUGAUACCCCAGUGGCGUGGCUUGAAGGGGGCUGGUAUCCAGCAAAUACUCCUUGGGGGCAACAAGAAAUACCUGGAUGGCUUAGUAGCAUCUCUGUCCCAAGGUCAUUCCAGAGGGAGGCUUGUGAAUCCAGGGAGGGACACCACACAGAAUCAAUCUCCAAACCCAUUUCCCACCUGGAGACAGAAUCCUCUAGGGCCCAGCCCCUAGACCAACUCUUCUAGAAAGCCCUCCUGAAUCUCCCCACCCUUCUGCAUGCCUUCUGAACCUGUGGGUGCCUAGGCUUUAGCAAGCCAGCCCCUUGGAGGCAGAAUAGAGCAGUGGUUACAUAAACAAGGUCUGGAAUCAGGAUGUGAACUCUGGCUCUGCCUCUCACCAUCCCUCUCUGAGCCUUCCCUCUCCAGCUGUAGAUGAGGACAGCCUCUGCUAGUGGAGCAGGAACCCCAUCCAGAGUCACAGAAUUGCUGCCCUCACCUCUUCCUGCCCCUGCUCCCACACUCUACCCUCCAGAUCCUUCUUUCUGGCCUCCUGCCUCCAGGCCCUCAUGAGUACAGAUACCUCCCUUAGAAAUGAGGUUCAGAUCACAGCACUCCCCUGCUAGGCUCUGAAGAGGUGCUUCGCCAUCCUCAAAUAAAAUCCACCUGCUUCCUUUGCCCUUCUCGCCCCUUCUGGGCAGCCAUUCUGGGCUCUAGGUUUCUGCCUCAGGGCCACUGCACUUGUAGUUCCUUUCACCUGGGACAUCUCUUCUGCACGUUGUCUGCAUGACCAGCUCCUGCUCUUUGCUUGGGUCUCCAGGCUCAGUGCCACCCAAAGUUGCAGAGCUAUCCCCAACGCCCUCCCAGCUGUAGGGUGUCCCUGUACCCAAAGUUACUCUCCCCGCACCCCCCUGCUUUUCUGUCUUUACACUCUCAAAGCUUGUCCUGUGCACCCAUUUGUUCACUAGUUCACUCUCUGUCUCUCCCACUAGCCCAUGAGCCCCAUGAGGGUGGGGACCGUGUCUGUCUUGUUCCCUGCUGUCCCCAGGACCUAGAUGGAGUCUGGCCCAGUUGGUGCCUUUGGAGCAUGUGUGCUGGUGGAGGACUUAACGGCACCUUCCUGGGCAGGAAGCAGACCCAGCAGAACUGCAGCGGCGGCCCUCAAACCAGCACCCCCUCUUCCUGACAGCACAGGCAUUUCCCCAGGGCCUGUGCCACAGUGAGACCAGCUCUAUGCAGACACAGCUCUGUCCUGUGAGGGGGUGAGACACAGGCUCUGCUGGGGACUGAGGCUCUGGCUGCAUUUUCUUAUCUAUUGUAGUUGUCCAUCCUCCCCAAGUAUGGCUGGGGGCAGAAAAGAGUGAACACAUUCACAGACAGGUGGGUCAGUGCCAGGACAUCCAGGAUUGCCUUGGUUCCAGCAACAUGUCUCAGGGAAGAACCAGAGAAGCCAGGGCAGAGUUAGGGUCUCUGGACUACCAGGGCUCAGGGCAUAGAGGUGGGCUUGGUUCACCCCUGACACCAACCCCAAGGAGAAUAAAUAAAUAAAUAGUAUAUAAUUGUACAGUC